UACGUAGGGGGCAAGCGUUGUCCGGAAUCAUUGGGCGUAAAGAGCGUGUAGGCGGCCCGGUAAGUCCGCCGUGAAAGUCCAGGGCUCAACCUUGGAAAGCCGGUGGAUACUGUCGAGCUCGAGUCCGGAAGAGGCGAGUGGAAUUCCUGGUGUAGCGGUGAAAUGCGCAGAUAUCAGGAGGAACACCAAUGGCGAAGGCAGCUCGCUGGGACGGUACUGACGCUGAGACGCGAAAGCGUGGGGAGCAAACAGG
rnacentral:rRNA from 1 species